AGGUCAAGCUACAAAGGGCGCAUGGCGAAUGCCUUGGCACUAGGAGCCGAAGAAGGACGCGUUAAGCUGCGAUAAGCUUUGGGUAGGCGCAAAUAGCCUGUGAUCCAAAGAUUUCCGAAUGGGGGAACCCACAUAGUAACAACUAUGUACUGCAUACUGAAUAAAUAGGUAUGCAGAGGUAGACCCGGGGAACU
rnacentral:rRNA from 1 species